GGCAAAGCUGUAGUUCUUCUGAACCCGGCUUUCUAUCUUUGCCGAGUGCCAGCCAUCCAUGCUCUCGGCAAAGCUAGGAAUUUAGUUUUUUUUUCUGUUUUUUCUCUGUUUUUUACAUGCACAGCCACAUAUGUAUAUAUAUAUCACAAAUCCCUUUGUCUAUAUCACAAUCCACAUAUAUAUCACACAUGAAACAUAUCGAAGUCCACAGAUAUCACAAAUCCACAUAGAUAUGACAAAUCUAACAUUACGUCCAAAUAAACCAUAAGUCACCACAAGUUCAUAACAUAAACCACAAGUCCACAUGAAUAUCACUCCUCGAAGUCGCUAGCGCCUCACCCCUAGUGCUGUGACUCUGACCCGUCGUCGCCGUGGCCUCCGUCGUGUCCCGAGCCUCCAUCUGGCCAAGCCGACCAGGGUGAGUGCCCCCCAGGGUGUGGAGAGCUCGCACCUGCCCACGGCGCCCACAUGGCCUGCCCUGGCACCGACGGGUACGGGUACGAGUACCCGGGGCGCGGAGGAGGGCUGCCGGACAACCCGGGGUGGCCGUGCUGCGGAUGGGCACCAGGCCACGUGUGCUGCGUACUUGGGU
rnacentral:lncRNA from 1 species